rnacentral:rRNA from 1 species
GACGAACGCUGGCGGCGUGCUUAACACAUGCAAGUCGAACGGUGAAGGGACUGGUUUUGCUGGUCCUGGAUGAGUGGCGAACGGGUGAGUAACACGUGAGUAACCUGCCCCCUUCUUCUGGAUAACCGCAUGAAAGUGUGGCUAAUACGGGAUAUUCUGGGUCUGUCGCAUGGUGGGCCUGGGAACGAUUGCGCCUUUUUUGGUGUUUUUGGUGGGGGAUGGGCUCGCGGCCUAUCAGCUUGUUGGUGGUGUGAUGGCCUACCAAGGCGGUGACGGGUAGCCGGCCUGAGAGGGUGGACGGGCACACUGGGACUGAGACACGGCCCAGACUCCUACGGGAGGCAGCAGUGGGGAAUAUUGCACAAUGGGCGCAAGCCUGAUGCAGCGACGCCGCGUGAGGGAUGGAGGCCUUCGGGUUGUGAACCUCUUUCGCCAGUGAAGCAGGCCUGCCUCUUUUUGUGGGUGGGUUGACGGUAGCUGGAGAAGAAGCGCCGGCUAACUACGUG